rnacentral:rRNA from 1 species
AGAGUUUGAUCCUGGCUCAGGAUGAACGCUGGCGGCGUGCCUAACACAUGCAAGUCGAGCGAUUUACUUCGGUAAAGAGCGGCGGACGGGUGAGUAACGCGUGGGUAACCUGCCCUGUACACACGGAUAACAUACUGAAAGGUAUGCUAAUACGAGAUAAUAUGCUUUUAUCGCAUGGUAGAAGUAUCAAAGCUUUUGCGGUACAGGAUGGACCCGCGUCUGAUUAGCUAGUUGGUAAGGUGACGGCUUACCAAGGCGACGAUCAGUAGCCGACCUGAGAGGGUGAUCGGCCACAUUGGAACUGAGACACGGUCCAAACUCCUACGGGAGGCAGCAGUGGGGAAUAUUGCACAAUGGGCGAAAGCCUGAUGCAGCAACGCCGCGUGAGCGAUGAAGGCCUUCGGGUCGUAAAGCUCUGUCCUCAAGGAAGAUAAUGACGG